UAUUGGUACACAACACAAAAUUUUGUAAAAGCUAAAUCAGAUUUUCUACCAGCAGAAAGUAGAUUUUGACAUGGAAAACACAUAUUUCAUUAUAAUAAUAAUAUCCAAAGCAUUUUUUUCUGUGAUGCCUACAUUUGAUAAUAGCAGCAAAAUAGCAUGAUAGAAGAGGUCAGUAAAUGGCAUCUGCAAAGAGCCAGAUGGUAUGUAUGCAAGGCUGUUUGGAGACCAUCAGGUCUCUGCUACAGUACUUGGCUGUCUCUGUGGUGUAAAAGUAGUUGCAGACAACAUACUCACAGUGAGUAUGGCUUUGUUUCAAUAAAACAGGAGGCAGGGCUAUACCCAGGCCCAGCAGCACAGGCCUAUAAUUUCUGCUACUCAGGAGGCUAAUGGAGGAUCACAAGUUUGAGGCCAGCCUCUGCAACUUAGGAAAACUCUGUCAUAAAGUAAAGUAAAAUAAAAUAACUGCAGGUGUAAUUCAGUAGUAGAGCACUCCUGGGUUCAAUCUCUAGAAUCACAAAAACAAAACCAGGAAAUGGGCUGUAACUGGUGUGUGCUGGUAUACCCCUGGUGUAGAAUAAAGAGGUCCAGGUUGUCCCUCCUACCUGGACAGCUCCACCUUUAGAUAUCCCACUAUUCCCUCCCUCUACACAUCUAGGCAGCUUAAAGGUCUUUGGUGACCAUCCUAAUCACCGGUAUAUCUUGUCCUUAGCCAGUCCUUUCUGUUUUUCUUGUAGCCCUUCACCUUACCUGGUGUUGUGCAACACCUUUAUGUACCUGUGUCUCUAUGUCCUCUACUAAAAGAUAAGUUCCUGAGGGCAGUGGUUUGUUUAGUUGCUGAUGUUGCCCCGCACCUACCAGCGUGGCAUGCGGUCAGCACACACUGAAGCAAACCAUUUGAUUUCUUGGAGAAGCAGUUAUUCCUCUGGAAGAUGAUGGUAUGUAAUGGACCAGUGUUUCCUAAUGGGGAAUUUUAAAAUGGUACAUAAAUAGAUUUUUUUCUUUUAAUAUUUGGGUUUAUAGUCGUAUAUGGUGUACAAGGGAUGGUUAUACCUAUGAUUCAACAAAC
rnacentral:lncRNA from 1 species